GACGAACGCUGGCGGCGUGCUUAACACAUGCAAGUCGAACGGGCCUUGUCCCCUUUUUUUUUGGGGGUGGGGUUAGUGGCGAACGGGUGAGUAACACGUGAGUAACCUGCCCCUCACUUCUGGAUAACCGCUUGAAAGGGUGGCUAAUACGGGGUGUUCUGGCCUGCUCGCAUGGGUGGGUUUGGAAAGAUUCGACCGGUUUUGGUUGUUUUGGUGGGGGAUGGGCUCGCGGCCUAUCAGCUUGUUGGUGGGGUGGUGGCCUGCCAAGGCUUUGACGGGUAGCCGGCCUGAGAGGGUGGGCGGUCACACUGGGACUGAGACACGGCCCAGACUCCUACGGGAGGCAGCAGUGGGGAAUAUUGCACAAUGGGCGCAAGCCUGAUGCAGCGACGCCGCGUGAGGGAUGGAGGCCUUCGGGUUGUGAACCUCUUUCGCCAGUGAAGAAGGUCCUGCUCUUUGUGGUGGGGUUGACGGUAGCUGGGUUAAUGAAGCGCCGGCUAACUACGUG
rnacentral:rRNA from 1 species